rnacentral:rRNA from 1 species
AAAUUGCAGUUGAAACUGGGAGUCUUGAGUACAGUAGAGGUGGGCGGAAUUCGUGGUGUAGCGGUGAAAUGCUUAGAUAUCACGAAGAACUCCGAUUGCGAAGGCAGCUCACUAGACUGUUACUGACACUGAUGCUCGAAAGUGUGGGUAUCAAACAGGAUUAGAUACCCUGGUAGUCCACACAGUAAACGAUGAAUACUCGCUGUUUGCGAUAUACAGUAAGCGGCCAAGCGAAAGCAUUAAGUAUUCCACCUGGGGAGUACGCCGGCAACGGUGAAACUCAAAGGAAUUGACGGGGGCCCGCACAAGCGGAGGAACAUGUGGUUUAAUUCGAUGAUACGCGAGGAACCUUACCCGGGCUUAAAUUGCAACAGAAUAUAUUGGAAACAGUAUAGCCGUAAGGCUGUUGUGAAGGUGCUGCAUGGUUGUCGUCAGCUCGUGCCGUGAGGUGUCGGCUUAAGUGCCAUAACGAGCGCAACCCUUAUCUUUAGUUACUAACAGGUCAUGCUGAGGACUCUAGAGAGACUGCCGUCGUAAGAUGUGAGGAAGGUGGGGAUGACGUCAAAUCAGCACGGCCCUUACGUCCGGGGCUACACACGUGUUACAAUGGGGGGUACAGAAGGCAGCUACACGGCGACGUGAUGCUAAUCCCAAAAACCUCUCUCAGUUCGGAUCGAAGUCUGCAACCCGACUUCGUGAAGCUGGAUUCGCUAGUAAUCGCGCAUCAGCCAUGGCGCGGUGAAUACGUUCCCGGGCCUUGUACACGCCUCCCGUCAAGCCAUGAAAGCCGGGGGUACCUGAAGUACGUAAACCGCAAGAGC